rnacentral:rRNA from 1 species
GACGAACGCUGGCGGCGUGCUUAACACAUGCAAGUCGAACGGAAAGGCCUCUUUCGGGGGGUACUCGAGUGGCGAACGGGUGAGUAACACGUGAGUAACCUGCCCUUGACUUUGGGAUAACUUUAGGAAACUGGGGCUAAUACCGGAUAGGAGCUCCUGCUGCAUGGUGGGGGUUGGAAAGUUUCGGCGGUUGGGGAUGGACUCGCGGCUUAUCAGCUUGUUGGUGGGGUAGUGGCUUACCAAGGCUUUGACGGGUAGCCGGCCUGAGAGGGUGACCGGCCACAUUGGGACUGAGAUACGGCCCAGACUCCUACGGGAGGCAGCAGUGGGGAAUAUUGCACAAGGGGUGGAAGCCUGAUGCAGCAACGCCGUGUGCGGGAUGACGGCCUUCGGGUUGUAAACCGCUUUCGCUCAUGACGAAGCUUUGUGUGACGGUAGUGGGUAAAGAAGCACCGGCUAACUACGUG